rnacentral:rRNA from 1 species
GACGAAGGGGGCUAGCGUUGUUCGGAAUUACUGGGCGUAAAGCGCGUGUAGGCGGUUGCCCAAGUCGGGUGUGAAAGCCUUGAGCUCAACUCAAGAAAUGCACUCGGUACUGGGUGACUAGAGGACCGGAGAGGAUAGUGGAAUUCCCAGUGUAGUGGUGAAAUACGUAGAGAUUGGGAAGAACACCAGUGGCGAAGGCGGCUAUCUGGACGGUUUCUGACGCUAAAACGCGAAAGCGUGGGGAGCGAACGGG